rnacentral:rRNA from 1 species
CCGCGGUAAUACGGAGGAUCCAAGCGUUAUCCGGAAUCAUUGGGUUUAAAGGGUCCGUAGGUGGAUAAUUAAGUCAGAGGUGAAAUCUUGCAGCUCAACUGUAAAAUUGCCUUUGAUACUGGUUAUCUUGAGUUAUUAUGAAGUAGUUAGAAUAUGUAGUGUAGCGGUGAAAUGCAUAGAUAUUACAUAGAAUACCAAUUGCGAAGGCAGAUUACUAAUAAUCAACUGACACUGAUGGACGAAAGCGUGGGUAGCGAACAGG